CCCUUAGAUGUUCUGGGCCGCACACGCGCUACACUGAAGGAGGCAGCGUGUACUCCUGGAUCGAAAGAUUUGGGUAACCCGCGAAUCUCCUUCGUGCUAGGGAUUGAGGUUUGCAAUUAUCCUUCAUGAACGAGGAAUUCCCAGUAAGUGCAAGUCAUAAGCUUGCGCUGACUACGUCCCUGCCCUUUGUACACACCGCCCGUCGCUACUACCGAUUGAAUGAUUUAGUGAGGACUUCGGACUGGGACCGAUGCGGCUUUCGGGCUGCGUCGGUAUUCUGGAAAGAUGUCCAAACUGUAUCAUUUAGAGGAAGUAAAAGUCGUGACA
rnacentral:rRNA from 1 species